AUUGAACGCUGGCGGCAUGCUUUACACAUGCAAGUCGAACGGUAACAGGCCGCAAGGUGCUGACGAGUGGCGAACGGGUGAGUAAUGCAUCGGAACGUGCCCAGUCGUGGGGGAUAACGCAGCGAAAGCUGCGCUAAUACCGCAUACGAUCUAUGGAUGAAAGCGGGGGACCGAAAGGCCUCGCGCGAUUGGAGCGGCCGAUGUCAGAUUAGGUAGUUGGUGGGGUAAAGGCUCACCAAGCCAACGAUCUGUAGCUGGUCUGAGAGGACGACCAGCCACACUGGGACUGAGACACGGCCCAGACUCCUACGGGAGGCAGCAGUGGGGAAUUUUGGACAAUGGGCGCAAGCCUGAUCCAGCAAUGCCGCGUGCAGGAAGAAGGCCUUCGGGUUGUAAACUGCUUUUGUACGGAGCGAAAAGGCUCUCUCUAAUACAGGGGGUUCAUGACGGUACCGUAAGAAUAAGCACCGGCUAACUACGUGCCAGCAGCCGCCGUAACAC
rnacentral:rRNA from 1 species